GAUGAACGCUGGCGGCGUGCCUAAUACAUGCAAGUCGAGCGAACAGACGAGGAGCUUGCUCCUCUGACGUUAGCGGCGGACGGGUGAGUAACACGUGGAUAACCUACCUAUAAGACUGGGAUAACUUCGGGAAACCGGAGCUAAUACCGGAUAAUAUAUUGAACCGCAUGGUUCAAUAGUGAAAGACGGUUUUGCUGUCACUUAUAGAUGGAUCCGCGCCGCAUUAGCUAGUUGGUAAGGUAACGGCUUACCAAGGCAACGAUGCGUAGCCGACCUGAGAGGGUGAUCGGCCACACCGGAACGGAGACACGGUCCAGACUCCUACGGGAGGCAGCAGUAGGGAAUCUUCCGCAAUGGGCGAAAGCCUGACGGAGCAACGCCGCGUGAGUGAUGAAGGUCUUCGGAUCGUAAAACUCUGUUAUUAGGGAAGAACAAAUGUGUAAGUAACUAUGCACGUCUUGACGGUACCUAAUCAGAAAGCCACGGCUAACUACGUG
rnacentral:rRNA from 1 species